GCUGGCGGCAGGCCUAACACAUGCAAGUCGAGCGGCAGCACAGAGGAACUUGUUCCUUGGGUGGCGAGCGGCGGACGGGUGAGUAAUGCCUGGGAAAUUGCCCUGAUGUGGGGGAUAACCAUUGGAAACGAUGGCUAAUACCGCAUGAUGCCUACGGGCCAAAGAGGGGGACCUUCGGGCCUCUCGCGUCAGGAUAUGCCCAGGUGGGAUUAGCUAGUUGGUGAGGUAAUGGCUCACCAAGGCGACGAUCCCUAGCUGGUCUGAGAGGAUGAUCAGCCACACUGGAACUGAGACACGGUCCAGACUCCUACGGGAGGCAGCAGUGGGGAAUAUUGCACAAUGGGCGCAAGCCUGAUGCAGCCAUGCCGCGUGUAUGAAGAAGGCCUUCGGGUUGUAAAGUACUUUCAGUCGUGAGGAAGGUUGUAGUGUGAAUAGCACUAUGAUUUGACGUUAGCGACAGAAGAAGCACCGGCUAACUCCGUGCCAGCAGCCGCGGUAAUACGGAGGGUGCGAGCGUUAAUCGGAAUUACUGGGCGUAAAGCGCAUGCAGGUGGUUUGUUAAGUCAGAUGUGAAAGCCCUGGGCUCAACCUAGGAGUUGCAUUUGAAACUGACAAGCUAGAGUACUGUAGAGGGGGGUAGAAUUUCA
rnacentral:rRNA from 1 species